UCAUUGCUCUAAUCUGGAGGGAGAGGAACAACAUCAGAUUUGACAAAAAGAAGUAUGAAGAGAACCAGUUAUGCAGGGAGAUUGUUCUACACAUUGAGAUUCGAGGCAAGAACUGUAGCAGAUGGAAAGAUGCUUUACGACAACUUAACAGAUUUCCAUAGUUGUAGAUUGUAAUAGAGUGCUAAUAUACUAAGUUUGUAAUUAGUGAAAGAAUAAGUAGGUACUUAGUGGAGGC
rnacentral:lncRNA from 1 species